AUGACUCUCGGCAACGGAUAUCUCGGCUCUCGCAUCGAUGAAGAACGUAGCGAAAUGCGAUACUUGGUGUGAAUUGCAGAAUCCCGUGAACCAUCGAGUUUUUGAACGCAAGUUGCGCCCGAAGCCGUUAGGCUGAGGGCACGUUUGCCUGGGCGUCGUA
rnacentral:rRNA from 2 species